GUUUGAUCCUGGCUCAGAUUGAACGCUGGCGGCAGGCCUAACACAUGCAAGUCGAGCGGUAGAGAGAAGCUUGCUUCUCUUGAGAGCGGCGGACGGGUGAGUAAUGCCUAGGAAUCUGCCUGGUAGUGGGGGAUAACGUUCGGAAACGGACGCUAAUACCGCAUACGUCCUACGGGAGAAAGCAGGGGACCUUCGGGCCUUGCGCUAUCAGAUGAGCCUAGGUCGGAUUAGCUAGUUGGUGAGGUAAUGGCUCACCAAGGCUACGAUCCGUAACUGGUCUGAGAGGAUGAUCAGUCACACUGGAACUGAGACACGGUCCAGACUCCUACGGGAGGCAGCAGUGGGGAAUAUUGGACAAUGGGCGAAAGCCUGAUCCGGCCAUGCCGCGUGUGUGAAGAAGGUCUUCGGAUUGUAAAGCACUUUAAGUUGGGAGGAAGGGCAGUUACCUAAUACGUGAUUGUUUUGACGUUACCGACAGAAUAAGCACCGGCUAACUCUGUGCCAGCAGCCGCGGUAAUACAGAGGGUGCAAGCGUUAAUCGGAAUUACUGGGCGUAAAGCGCGCGUAGGUGGUUUGUUAAGUUGGAUGUGAAAUCCCCGGGCUCAACCUGGGAACUGCAUUCAAAACUGACUGACUAGAGUAUGGUAGAGGGUGGUGGAAUUUCCUGUGUAGCGGUGAAAUGCGUAGAUAUAGGAAGGAACACCAGUGGCGAAGGCGACCACCUGGACUAAUACUGACACUGAGGUGCGAAAGCGUGGGAGCAAACAGGAUUAGAUACCCUGGUAGUCCA
rnacentral:rRNA from 1 species